rnacentral:rRNA from 1 species
GGCUAAUCCUGGUCGGACAUCAGGAGGUUAGUGCAAUGGCAUAAGCCAGCUUGACUGCGAGCGUGACGGCGCGAGCAGGUGCGAAAGCAGGUCAUAGUGAUCCGGUGGUUCUGAAUGGAAGGGCCAUCGCUCAACGGAUAAAAGGUACUCCGGGGAUAACAGGCUGAUACCGCCCAAGAGUUCAUAUCGACGGCGGUGUUUGGCACCUCGAUGUCGGCUCAUCACAUCCUGGGGCUGAAGUAGGUCCCAAGGGUAUGGCUGUUCGCCAUUUAAAGUGGUACGCGAGCUGGGUUUAGAACGUCGUGAGACAGUUCGGUCCCUAUCUGCCGUGGGCGCUGGAGAACUGAGGGGGGCUGCUCCUAGUACGAGAGGACCGGAGUGGACGCAUCACUGGUGUUCGGGUUGUCAUGCCAAUGGCACUGCCCGGUAGCUAAAUGCGGAAGAGAUAAGUGCUGAAAGCAUCUAAGCACGAAACUUGCCCCGAGAUGAGUUCUCCCUGACCCUUUAAGGGUCCUGAAGGAACGUUGAAGACGAC